CAGCCGCCACGGGAAUACGUAGGUGGCAAGCGUUGUCCGGAAUUAUUGGGCGUAAAGGGCUCGCAGGCGGUUUCUUAAGUCUGAUGUGAAAGCCCCCGGCUCAACCGGGGAGGGUCAUUGGAAACUGGGAAACUUGAGUGCAGAAGAGGAGAGUGGAAUUCCACGUGUAGCGGUGAAAUGCGUAGAGAUGUGGAGGAACACCAGUGGCGAAGGCGACUCUCUGGUCUGUAACUGACGCUGAGGAGCGAAAGCGUGGGGAGCGAACAGGAUUAGAUACCCGCGUAGUCCCUGUCUCUUAUAA
rnacentral:rRNA from 1 species